UCCUCAUUCCUCCUGCUAUCUCACCGAUCAGAGUGACGAGAGAGCACGGGAAAUGAAGAGA
rnacentral:pre_miRNA from 1 species